rnacentral:rRNA from 1 species
CAUGCGAGUCUGAGCAUUAGCUCGGCGUACCGCUCAGUAACACGUGGGUAACCUGCUCUAUCGUUUUGAAUAACCUCGGGAAACUGAGAACAAUACAUCAUAGUCCACUACGCCUGGAACGGUGAGUGGAUGAAGGUAGGAUGGGCCUGCGGCGUAUCAGGUUGUAGGGGGUGUAAUGGACCUCCUAGCCAUCGACGCGUACGGGUGUUGGGAGACAUAGCCCGGAGAUGGAUUCUGAGACACGAAUCCAGGCCCUACGGGGCGCAGCAGUUACGAAAACUUGGCAAUGCGGGAAACCGUGACCAGGGAACUCCAAGUGAGUCUCUUUUAGGGGCUCCUUUCUUGACUCUAAAACGGUCUUGGAAUAAGGGGUGGGUAAGGACGGUGCCAGCCGCCGCGGUAAUACCGGCGCCUCAAGUGGUCGUCGCUUUUAUUGGGCCUAAAACGUCCGUAGCCGGUUUGGUACAUUCGUGGGUAAAUCAGCUCGCUCAACGAGUUGAAUUCUGCGAGGACGGCCAGACUAGGACCGGGAGAGGUGUGGGGAACUCUCACGGUAGGGGUAAAAUCCUGUCAUCCUGAGAGGACCACCUGUUGCGAAGGCGCCCACACUAGAACGGAUCCGACGGUCAGGGACGAAGCCUUAGGGGCACGAACCGGAUUA